AAUCAGAGCUGCACCUGCCUGCCUAUGCCACAGCAACACAGGAUCCCAGCUGUGUCUGCAAUGCCGGAUCCGUAACCCAUUGAGCGAGGCCAGGGAUCAAAACCCAUGCCCUCAUGGAUACUAGUCGGGUUCAUUAACCACUGAGUCACGACAGGAGCUCCUCAUAAUAAUUUUUAAUCUAUCUUUUUCUUCUUUAUGAAAAGAUCUGCCUGACUUGAGACUUCUGGCACCUCUCACUCUUCCUGCAAUUUCUUGGCACGAUGCUUCUCGAAUCACACUGAUAACUGUCCACUGCUCCACUAAGAGUGACUUUCUGCUUCCCUUUGUCCCCAUUUCAGAACCCAAGCUUCAGCCCGAGGAGGUAUAAAUGCAGCCCCAUGGUCAGGAGGAGUCUGUCAAGCUCGCUAAUACUGUCUUCAUGUGCAUUGAUGUCUGCCACCGAGAAAUAAAAAGUACACACACUGAUUGGAGGCAGGUUAUAGCAUCACUUUCGUAUCCUGAGGACUGCUCAUUACAUGUGGCGAUGCAAACGUGCACGAAUAUGUGUACCAAAUGCAUUCAGCCUUCACUGGGCUCCUGCUAUAAUACUAAUGGUUAAUGUUUAUGUCACUUACUAUGCUCAGGUGCUAAGUGCUUCGUAUAUUUUACUCGUUUAAUUCUCACUUCAGCCCUCUGAAGCGAGUACUACCAUUAUCUCACUUUACAGCAAAUAGAAGCCCAUGGCUGGAAGCAUUACAGCUGAGAUCAGAACCCAAGCAGCCUGGCUCCCAAAUUUGAGCUCUCAACUACUCGUCCCUUCUUAGGCAUAUUUGCAUACAUCAGCAAGAUCCCAUCCCAAGAUUUCCACCUCAUUUCUUCCACCCCCACAGCACAUAUUACAUUCUCUACAUCCAGGUACUCUUCAUUCUUCCCUGAUUAUUCCAUGUACUUUGACACCACUGUGCCUCUGUUCAUGGAAUCCCACACAGAAAACUCCUAUUCAUCCUUCAAAGCCCAGUUUAAUGUCAUCUUUUCAUGAAGCAUGUCCUAUUCCCAUCCUGGUUAGAAUGAUUUGUUCCCUCCCUUCUGGUUCCAUAGGAAGCUGUCUGCACUACACAAUAUCAUAACUGGCUAGAUCAGGCUUUAUAAAUAGUGAAAGAUUCUGGAACAGGGAUAUAGGAACCAGGCUGCUGACAAAAAAAAUCAGCAAGAAUAAAGUAUGUGGGUUAUUUGGGGUUUUU
rnacentral:lncRNA from 1 species